rnacentral:rRNA from 1 species
AUGAACGCUGGCGGCGUGCCUAAUCCAUGCCAGUCGAGCGAACAGACGAGGAGCUUGCUCCUCUGACGUUAGCGGCGGACGGGUGAGUAACACGUGGAUAACCUACCUAUAAGACUGGGAUAACUUCGGGAAACCGGAGCUAAUACCGGAUAAUAUAUUGAACCGCAUGGUUCAAUAGUGAAAGACGGUUUUGCUGUCACUUAUAGAUGGAUCCGCGCCGCAUUAGCUAGUUGGUAAGGUAACGGCUUACCAAGGCGACGAUGCGUAGCCGACCUGAGAGGGUGAUCGGCCACACUGGAACUGAGACACGGUCCAGACUCCUACGGGAGGCAGCAGUAGGGAAUCUUCCGCAAUGGGCGAAAGCCUGACGGAGCAACGCCGCGUGAGUGAUGAAGGUCUUCGGAUCGUAAAACUCUGUUAUUAGGGAAGAACAAAUGUGUAAGUAACUAUGCACGUCUUGACGGUACCUAAGCAGAAAGCCACGGCUAACUACGU